rnacentral:rRNA from 1 species
CCUACGGGAGGCAGCAGUGGGGAAUAUUGGGCAAUGGGCGCAAGCCUGACCCAGCAACGCCGCGUGAAGGAAGACGGCUUUCGGGUUGUAAACUUCUUUUAAGAGGGAAGAGCAGAAGACGGUACCUCUUGAAUAAGCCACGGCUAACUACGUGCCAGCAGCCGCGGUCAUACGUAGGUGGCAAGCGUUAUCCGGAUUUACUGGGUGUAAAGGGCGUGUAGGCGGGAGUGCAAGUCAGAUGUGAAAACUAUGGGCUCAACCCAUAGCCUGCAUUUGAAACUGUACUUCUAGAGUGCUGGAGAGGCAAUCGGAAUGCAGGGUGUAGCGGUGAAAUGCGUAGAUAUACGGAGGAACACCAGUGGCGAAGGCGGAUUGCUGGACAGUAACUGACGCUGAGGCGCGAAAGCGUGGGGAGCAAACAGGAUUAGAUACCCGAGUAGUC